rnacentral:rRNA from 1 species
GAUGAACGCUGGCGGCGUGCUCAACACAUGCAAGUCGAACGGGCUUUACAUGAAGCCUAGCGAUUGUAAAGUUAGUGGCGGACGGGUGAGUAACGCGUGAAUAACCUGCCUUAUACUGGGGGACAACAGUUGGAAACGACUGCUAAUACCGCAUAAGCGCACUAAAGCUGCAUGGCUCAGUGUGAAAAACUCCGGUGGUAUAAGAUGGAUUCGCGUCUGAUUAGCUAGUUGGUGAGGUAACGGCUCACCAAGGCGACGAUCAGUAGCCGGCCUGAGAGGAUGAACGGCCACAUUGGGACUGAGAUACGGCCCAGACUCCUACGGGAGGCAGCAGUGGGGAAUAUUGGGCAAUGGGGGAAACCCUGACCCAGCAACGCCGCGUGAAGGAAGAAGGCCUUCGGGUUGUAAACUUCUUUUACCAGGGACGAAGAACGUGACGGUACCUGGAGAAAAAGCAACGGCUAACUACGUG